rnacentral:rRNA from 1 species
GACGAACGCUGGCGGCGUGUCUAAUACAUGCAAGUCGAACGCAGUGGGGACGGGUGAGUAACACGUGGGUAACCUCCCAUCAGAGGGGAUAACACUUGGAAACAUGUGCCAUACCGAUACCUAUGGAUGAACCCGCGGUGCAUUGGCUAGUUGGUGAGGUAACGGCUCCCCAAGGCCACGAUGCAUAGCCGACCUGAGAGGUUGAUGGGCCACAAUGGGACUGAGAAACGGCCCAGACUCCUACGGGAGGCAGAAGUAGGGAAUCUUCGGCAAUGGACGAAAGUCUGACCGAGCAACGCCGCGUGAGUGAAGAAGGUUUUCGGAUCGUAAAACGCUGUUGUUAGAGAAGCGGUAUCUAACCAGAAAGCCAAGGCUAACUACGUGCCAGCAGCCGCGGUAAUAC